GGCAUAGUGGUUUAGUGGUUAGCAUGUUUGCCUCACACCUUUGGGGUUGGGGUUCGAAUCCUGCCUUUGCCC